AGGAAGCCCGUGAAGACGUUGAAACCACGACGCCCUCGCAGCCUGGUGUUCUGUGUGAAGAGAAGAGGUCCCUGAAGGCCAGUGGAGCAUUUUGCUAAUUUAGGGGUGGGGGGUGAAUCCACGGCUUUCCAGGAGACAGUGGAAGAAAAACAUCUAAGAGCCACGGAGCUCUGUCCCUGCCUACCUGUAAACUGUCGCCAGAGUGACGCUCGACUCUCUCACACUCCGGUGUCCUACGUUCUGGACCGUGUCCCGGCUCCUGGGCGGAGGGAGCCGGCUGACAUCUGAGCUUCCGCUUGUUUGCCUCUGCACACCUGAGACGUGAUUUCUCCCAGGAUGUUCUCUCUCGGAUUAGCGGUACAGGACAAAGUCCACGGAAAUACUGAAGAGUUACUGGAUAAAGACAACAGCAGAGUACCUGAAAAGACCAGUUCCUGCCUACAGGGUACCAGAUAGACUCUCUGGGAAGUUAUAGAGCCUUAGACACAGCCCUGAACCUUGGAGAGCCUGCAUCAAAGACAGUUAAAGAUUCAGUGCAAAAACGAAGAGGAAAACUCCACUCUAGCGGACCUUUCUGCCUUGGUGAGGGACAACGCAAAGAUACAAUGAAAAAUAAACAGAAUGUGGUGUCCUACGAAAAUACAGCACACAGACAGAGAAAGUCAACUAAAGUACCUCUCCCUCAGGAAUGCCAAUUGUAAGGUACAAAUGCAAUUUUAAGUUGCUAAUGAAUUCACGGGUCAAUAAUUUCAAUGUAAUAGCUUAAUACUGAGUUGAGAGAAAGGAAAAUGAAUAAAUAUCUUCUAAUGCUGUUGACA
rnacentral:lncRNA from 1 species